GUCCCUGUAGAAAAGAGGAUAUCGCGUUGGACUUCUAAUCCAAAGGUCGUGGGUUCGAAUCCCACCAGGGAUA